CUAAGUUUGAUGGCGACCGGCGCACGGGUGAGUAACACGUAUCCAACCUGCCGAUGACUCGGGGAUAGCCUUUCGAAAGAAAGAUUAAUACCCGAUGGCAUAGUUCUUCCGCAUGGUAGAACUAUUAAAGAAUUUCGGUCAUCGAUGGGGAUGCGUUCCAUUAGGUUGUUGGCGGGGUAACGGCCCGCCAAGCCUUCGAUGGAUAGGGGUUCUGAGAGGAAGGUCCCCCACAUUGGAACUGAGACACGGUCCAAACUCCUACGGGAGGCAGCAUG
rnacentral:rRNA from 1 species